GUGUGGGGGUGCUGCUCUCAUGGCAACCGUCCAGAGCUCUCGGAUUACUGCCGUUGCCAGGGCGAGUCAGCCCAGCAACGCGACAGCCUGAAUACGCCGCGUCCUAUUAAAGUUUCCUUCCUUUAACACGCAGUGUCGACUGAUUUUUUGUCUUCUUGUAAAACACGCACCAUUUCGAGAAAAAUCACCCAUGUGACGCUGUGCUUUGUCUUCGUGCUGAUUCACUCAGAAACGCCGAGAAACGUCCUCGGUUUAAAAAAAAAAAAAAAAAAAAAAAAAGCCGGCGCUCUCCCCGAGCCUCACCCAGUUAUGGCGCAGCAACAUUUCACAGCACACUGCUCUCCUUUGUCUGUAAAGAAGCCAUUUUGAGAGAGAGAACAGCAGAGAAACCAUUGCACAAGCGCAGCUUACAUACCACCAAAAACAGGAGACGCUCUCCCAACCCCUUAUUAAUGCCAAUAAUAGAGGAUCCGAAGAUGGAGCUGAAAACAUUCCUCCUGCCCCUGCGUUUAGGCCUGUUAACUGCAUUUCACCCAAGCGCUGAGGUAAAUAUUUUUUUCACCAUGAAGAGUUUUCCCUCCAUCUGUUUCCUCUUUAAGUUUGACCUGUCUGUGUUUAAACCGUUUUUAAAAAACUAACAUUUAAAAAAAAAAGAAAGAAGAAAAAGAAGGAAGAG
ensembl:lncRNA